GACGAACGCUGGCGGCGUGCCUAAUACAUGCAAGUCGAACGCAGUGGGGACGGGUGAGUAACACGUGGGUAACCUCCCAUCAGAGGGGAUAACACUUGGAAACAGGUGCUAAACCGAUACUGAUGGAUGGACCCGCGGUGCAUUAGCUAGAUGGUGAGGUAACGGCUCACAAAGGCCACGAUGCAUAGCCGCACUGAGAGGGGGAUCGGCAACACGGGGACUGUGCCAGGGCCCAGACUCCUCCGGGAGGAAGCAGUAGGAAAUCUUCGGAAAUGGACGAAAGUCGGACCGAGCAACGCCGGGUGAGGGAGGAGGGUUUUCGGAUCGGAAAACUCGUUUGUUAGGGAAGCGGUAUCUAACCAGAAAGCCACGGCUAACUACGUGCCAGCAGCCGCGGUAAUAC
rnacentral:rRNA from 1 species